rfam:Drosophila simulans chromosome 3L, whole genome shotgun sequence.
ACUUAGCUAAAACGUUUGGUUCAAAACAUUUGCUUGCUGUCUUGGCAUAACAUCAAUAAAGGAAUAAACAUCGUAAAAUAAUGGUUAUAUAUAAAUGGCGCCAAAAAUUCCAAGCAGCUUCAAAACAUCAACGGUU